rnacentral:lncRNA from 10 species
AGCCCUGGAUUAAGACUGCCCGUUGUCCACUAAAAUCUCUUCUUUCCUUGCUGCACGAGGGUAGAGAGACACCCAGCUGGACACUCCAUUUCCCAGCUGCUCUUGUUGCCAGGUGUAGACACAGGGGAAUGUGAGGCAAGCAUGUCCUCAAAGCCUGAUGACAUUGGGUAAAUUCUCCUUUGUGUUCUCUCUUUCAUGAGCUGGGCAGAUGUGCCUGAGACAGGUUUGACCAGGCAACUGAAAAGACAUCCCUAAGGGAAGACAAAGCAAAGGUAUGAAAGGAACACACGUCCCUGACUGACUAGGAGGAACAGAGCUGCCUGCUGUCUGGAACCGCUUCCUCCCAGACUAACUGUGAGUCAAACAGAAUCUGCCAACCUCUGCGUGGUGG